rnacentral:rRNA from 1 species
UACGUAGGGGGCAAGCGUUGUCCGGAUUCAUUGGGCGUAAAGAGCUCGUAGGCGGUUCGGCAAGUCGGGUGUGAAAACUCCAGGCUCAACCUGGAGACGCCACCCGAUACUGCUGUGACCUGAGUCCGGUAGGGGACCACGGAAUUCCUGGUGUAGCGGUGAAAUGCGCAGAUAUCAGGAAGAACACCAAUGGCGAAGGCAGCUCUCUGGGACGGUACUGACGCUGAGACGCGAAAGCGUGGGGAGCGAACAGG